rnacentral:miRNA from 19 species
CCUCGUAGCUUGAUCACGAUAUC